rnacentral:rRNA from 1 species
GACGAACGCUGGCGGCGUGCUUAACACAUGCAAGUCGAACGGAAAGGCCCUGCUUUUUUGGGGUGCUCGCGUGGCGAACGGGUGAGUAACCCGUGAGUAACCUGCCCUUGACUUUGGGAUAACUUCAGGAAACUGGGGCUAAUACCGGAUAGGAGCUCCUGCUGCAUGGUGGGGGUUGGAAAGUUUCGGCGGUUGGGGAUGGACUCGCGGCUUAUCAGCUUGUUGGUGGGGUAGUGGCUUACCAAGGCUUUGACGGGUAGCCGGCCUGAGAGGGUGACCGGCCACAUUGGGACUGAGAUACGGCCCAGACUCCUACGGGAGGCAGCAGGGGGGAAUAUUGCACAAUGGGCGGAAGCCUGAUGCAGCAACGCCGCGUGCGGGAUGACGGCCUUCGGGUGGGAAACCGCUUUCGCCUGUGACGAAGCGUGAGUGACGGUAAUGGGUAAAGAAGCACCGGCUAACUACGUG